rnacentral:rRNA from 1 species
UACAGAGGUCCCAAGCGUGGUUCGGAUUCACUGGGCGUAAAGGGUGCGUAGGCGGUCGGGUAAGUCUGACGUGAAAUCUUCAAGCUUAACUUGGAAACUGCGUCGGAUACUAUUCGGCUGGAGGAAUGGAGGGGAGACUGGAAUACUUGGUGUAGCAGUGAAAUGCGUAGAUAUCAAGUGGAACACCAGUGGCGAAGGCGAGUCUCUGGACAUUUCCUGACGCUGAGGCACGAAAGCCAGGGGAGCAAACGGG